AUGCAAGUCGACGGUAACAGGCCCUUCGGGGUGCUGACGAGUGGCGGACGGGUGAGUAACGCGUAGGAAUUUGCCCAGUAGUGGGGGACAACUUGGGGAAACCCAAGCUAAUACCGCAUACGCCCUACGGGGGAAAGCGGGGGAUCUUCGGACCUCGUGCUAUUGGAUGAGCCUGCGUCGGAUUAGCUAGUUGGUAGGGUAAAGGCCUACCAAGGCGACGAUCCGUAGCUGGUUUGAGAGAACGAUCAGCCACACUGGGACUGAGACACGGCCCAGACUCCUACGGGAGGCAGCAGUGGGGAAUAUUGCACAAUGGGCGCAAGCCUGAUGCAGCAAUGCCGCGUGUGUGAAGAAGGCCUGCGGGUUGUAAAGCACUUUCAAUUGGGAAGAAAAGGUUAGGGUUAAUACCCCUGAUUCUUGACGUUACCUUUAGAAAGAAGCACCGGCUAACUCCCGUG
rnacentral:rRNA from 1 species